rnacentral:pre_miRNA from 1 species
UGGCGCGGACAUUUUCUUUGGUUAUCUAGCUGUAUGAGUAUUAUUCGACAUCAUAAAGCUAGGUUACCGGAGUUAAGCUCCUCGCCA